rnacentral:lncRNA from 1 species
UGCAGUUAAUGCAAACAAGCAAAAAGGAAUCCAAAUACUAGAAAUGGCUUCCCGCCAGCAAGUGUACUCCAACUUUCACUGUUCCCUCCAACGGCUGUAGUACUAGUAAAACAACAAAGGUACUUGGCGCCACAAAAAUUAGAAGGGAGACCAAUGGUCUAAUCCCAGCUACAAAGACAGCUUACAUGGACCAAACAAUAGACCACACACACACACACACUGGCCAUGGCCAUCGACUUGAACUUAGCAGCACCAGAUGAGCGAGAGGAAGAAGAUGGCAGGUUGCCUGAUCUCAAUUGGCAACCUGUACAGGAAGAAGAUGAAGCUGCCUUGGAUGAGCAAGCUGUACAAGAAGAAGAUGGAGCUGCCUUGCAUGAAGAACUCCAACCCGAACAUCACUUCGAUCUAAACAUGGACCCAGGUACUCCUUGCUAAUCUAUUCAAUUCUUCUUGUUCAAUCCUUCUUCUUGUUCACUCGAUCUAAACAUAUUUCUUAAUGUAGAAGAUGAACAUGAGCCCGAUGUUGUCCAUGGAGAAGAGGACCUACAUGAACCAGAUGAAUCAGGUUAGUAAAAUAAAUUUGUGUUGAAACUACAUUGACAAUGUACAAGCGACAAGACAAACAAUUUUCAAAAGUGUCUGUUAUAGAAAGCCAAGACCGAGAAAAUAUUCUCUAUUCAUAGUUAAAUUUAUCAAAAAGAAAUCUUGACCUGUGUUAUGACUUUUGAUUUUCAAAACCGUGCAUGAAGAACUCCAGCCCGCACGUCACUUCAAUCUAAACACGGGG